rnacentral:rRNA from 1 species
UAAUACAUUACAACUUUCAGCGGUGGAUGUCUAGGUUCCCACAACGAUGAAGAACGCAGCGAAAUGCGAUACGUAAUGCGAAUUGCAAGACCUCGUGAAUCAUCAAGAUUUUGAACGCACAUUGCGCUUUCGGGUAUUCCCGGUAGCAUGCUUGUCUGAGUGUCUGUGGA